rnacentral:rRNA from 1 species
UGGGGAAUAUUGCACAAUGGGCGCAAGCCUGAUGCAGCCAUGCCGCGCGUAUGAAGAAGGCCUUCGGGUUGUAAAGUACUUUCAGCGGGGAGGAAGGCGAUAAGGUUAAUAACCUUGUCGAUUGACGUUACCCGCAGAAGAAGCACCGGCUAACUCCGUGCCAGCAGCCGCGGUAAUACGGAGGGUGCAAGCGUUAAUCGGCAUUACUGGGCGUAAAGCGCACGCAGGCGGUCUGUCAAGUCGGAUGUGAAAUCCCCGGGCUCAACCUGGGAACUGCAUUCGAAACUGGCAGGCUAGAGUCUUGUAGAGGGGGGUAGAAUUCCAGGUGUAGCGGUGAAAUGCGUAGAGAUCUGGAGGAAUACCGGUGGCGAAGGCGGCCCCUUGGACAAAGACUGACGCUCAGGUGCGAAAGCGUGGGGAGCAAACA